GCUUUGUUAAACAAGUGCUUGAAGGCAGUAUGCUUGGUAAAAGUCAUCGCCAUUCUCUAAUCUUGAGUACCCAGGGACACGAUACACUGCGGAAGGCUGCAGGGACCUCUGCCCAGGAAAGCCAGGAUCCAGUAUCUGCCGGAGGAGCCCCACCUUCUGCUACUAUUAUGUUCUUCAGAUGAGUAGAAGAGAGUGGGGAGGGAGAGAGCAGGAAGAAGAAAGGAAGAAUAAUGUCUUGAAAUUGAUGAUGCAUAUCAUAAAUUAUUACUCACCCCAUGUUCCCACCCUCGAGAGACCUCCAAACAAUCACCAUGCCACAGUGAACAUUCAGUAACAAAAAUUCAGCCAGGGUUUUCACCAGCAUGAAUGGCAGUGAUUCCAAUCAGGAAAACAGAAAGAGGAGAGUUCAGAGCCACCUAGAAUGGCUCUUGCAAGAUACGAAAUCAAGGCAGCAGCAACAGGGCUGAACAUUCCUCAUCCCUAACUCUCCCUUCACCAGUAGGAAACCCAGGAUAACUGCAAUCACCGCAGGCCCAUCUGGCCUGAAGUUCUACUACUAGUAGCCCUCCAUGGGACCUUCUUAAGGAAGCAUGUCAACUCAGGUAAGGGAUGUAAGGGGAUGGAUGACCCUUUGAGGCCAAAGUUGGAGCAAAAAACACCAGAUGUUCCUGUGCACUGCUCCUAAGAGAUGGUUCUGAAGACCAGUUCGGGGAGAGGUCAAAAUACUGGACAGAAUCUCAGCAACAUGGAACCUCAAACUAAGUGACAGUCACAGACAACUCUUCCCCAAAGAAAAUAAGCACAGACAUGGUUUGUGGUAAGCAGAAUUAUAAAGAUGAAUUCCCAUCUCCCUGUCAGAUUACCAGUAUGGUAAAUUACCAGAUUACCUGGUUAUUUAUUCAAACACUAAUACAGUUAUUGCCUUGAUGGAAACAUACAGAUACAAUUAAAAUCCCAAGUACCAAAUAAAUUGACCUUAAGACAAAGACUAAGUAAAUCACAUGAGCCCUCUACAAGCAGAGAGUUUUUCUCCAGCUGGUAGCAGAAGCCAGAGAUUUGAAGCAUAGGAAGUAUUCAACACAUUAUUGCUGGCCUGAAAAUGGAAGGGGCCACAUAACGAGGGAAACCGGUGGCCUCUAGAAGCAGGGAGCAGUCCCCUGCUGACAGACAGCAAGCCAAGACCUCAGUUCUACAAUUGCAAGACACUCAAUUCUGCUAAGGACAAAAAUGAGCUUGGAAGUGAACUCUGAGCUUCAGGUGAGAACACGGCCAAACAACACCUUGAUUUCAGCUUAAACAAAGAAUGCAGCCACUCCAUGCCAGAAUUCUGACCUGUAGAAAUUUGAGCUAAUAAAUAGAUGUUUUAAUAGCUUCAUCGAUACAUA
rnacentral:lncRNA from 1 species